rnacentral:rRNA from 1 species
AUUGAACGCUGGCGGCAGGCCUAACACAUGCAAGUCGAGCGGAUGAAGGGAGCUUGCUCCUGGAUUCAGCGGCGGACGGGUGAGUAAUGCCUAGGAAUCUGCCUGGUAGUGGGGGAUAACGUCCGGAAACGGGCGCUAAUACCGCAUACGUCCUGAGGGUGAAAGUGGGGGAUCUUCGGACCUCACGCUAUCAGAUGAGCCUAGGUCGGAUUAGCUAGUUGGUGGGGUAAAGGCCUACCAAGGCGACGAUCCGUAACUGGUCUGAGAGGAUGAUCAGUCACACUGGAACGGAGCCACGGUCCAUGCUACUACGGGAGGCAGCAGUGGGGAAUAUUGGACAAUGGGCGAAAGCCUGAUACAGCCAUGCCGAGUGUGUGAAGAAGGUCUUCGGAUUGUAAAGAACUUUAAGUUGGGAGGAAGGGCAGUAAGUUAAUACCUUGCUGUUUUGACGUUACCAACAGAAUAAGCACCGGCUAACUUCGUG